UGGUGUAAUGGUUAAGAGAUAUGGCUGCUAACCAUAAGGUUGGUGGUUCAAAUCCACC
rfam:Loxodonta africana unplaced genomic scaffold scaffold_17, whole genome shotgun sequence.